CUAUUACAGGAAUUAUACAUUCGACAGAGGAGGUUGGAAGCUUAUUUGAGGCCCUCUUCACAGCACACUCGAGUUCCUGCAAUGAUUUGGGUCGAUGAGGUUUGGUGAUGGUGAUGGGAGAAGCCACGGUCGCAGACAUGCCCAGCUUCUGCCCAUGGAAGUCGUUGCGGUUGUCCACCCAAGUGGAUCUCCUUGGCCUCUUCUUUCUUCUUGGUGCAGUGGAGAGUGGAAUGAAGACUCCAGUUCCUUUUCUCUCCCUUCCGAUGGCCAUCUCCUCGUAGCCAUAUGAUGAUGGCAGCAUCAUGGUUCGAGGCAUGCAGGGAAGCCCCUGUGGAGAACAUGAUAUGAACCAGUGUCAAACAUGGAGGCCAGAAUAUAUAUGAAGGUCUGAUUCAUGGCAAGACAUCAGGAAACAGCAGACAUCUUAUCCCUCCCUCCCCUAUGGCGGCCAUUUGAGGAAACAGUUCACAAAGAUUGGUGAGGAAAACCUGAACCGGAAGGGGUGGACACUGCACUGGGAAUUCUUCCUCAUCAUCCAUAAUUAGCAUGGCAAUCUGCUUGCUUAGAUCUGCAAAGAAGACAUCGUCUUCAACCUCCACGGCCAUCUGAUACUGGUACCCGAAGACACCGAAACAGGGAGGAAGAGGAGGGAAACAAGAGUAGUAGUCCAAAUCCACUCCUCAACUCAUUCUUCUUCUCUUUGCUUGCUUCGAUUGCAGUCGGGCUUUAAUAGGCAAAGGAGGGGGCACUCGGAUUGGAGGUACGUGCGGGCCCCAAUGGCAGUUGACCAAUCCCCUCCUCUUGUGGCCCACCAAAAGCCACAAGUGGGUGAGGAAGAGAACUACAUGGGAAUAUCUUGAUAGGGUGGCAAAUGGAUGAGGGGAGGGGCUUCCGGCAACAGAUGUAGCCAUCAAAGAUUCAAUUCCAUGAUAAAGAUGUGGUCGAAGCAUAUCCGCCGGAAGAGUGGGUUUGAAAUUUCUCUAUUUGGUCAUAACAAUUUUGGAUCAAGUGAGAUAUUAUACUUUGAUUAGGAUUUGGCUAUUUGUAGAUUUAUAGCUUUGGUUAUAUAUUAUAUUUUGAUGAGAAUGAAAGGUUCAAGUGAGAUAUUUAUUGA